CUCGUCAGCUAGAACGUCAGCAGUGGCUCCGCCCCUGCUCCCCGGUAUUCCGGGUUUAAAAAGCUCCAAUUUGGGCCUCUGAAAUCAGACCACUCAAAAUAAAAUUUUAGCUUGACCAUUUAUGAUCUGAAUGCUUUCCAGCAAGUUUCUUCAUUUUUCUGCAUCGCAGUUUCCCCGCCUGUGAUACUAGCAUUGACUGCAGAAGAUGACCCUGAAGAAUAAAUGAUUAACAUUAGCAACAGGCUUAACACAUGAGAUACCCCAUGAUUCUUCUGAUGUGAUCUACCUCACUCCACUGUCCAUAAAGAAGCACUGUCAUAUCCAUCCAUGGUUCUCCGUCAGUUCUGUGCCCAGGAAAUAGACCUCUUUGGACACCACCAUCAGGCUCUGUGCCCUCUG